rnacentral:precursor_RNA from 1 species
UACUUCCCUUCACUGCCGCACAAACCCUAUUCACCAUUUUGGUUCAUCCCAUAUGCGUCCUAUGUUGGUUUGAGAGGUUGAAGCUGCCAGCAUGAUCUGGUGAAACAAACACCAUCUCUUUCUUCUCUAACCCCAUGUCUGGAUUCGUCCACCGAUCCAUUAUUAUAGACCAGGCCGCCCGUU